rnacentral:rRNA from 1 species
GAUGAACGCUAGCGGCAGGCUUAAUACAUGCAAGUCGAGGGACAGCACAGGUAGCAAUACUGGGUGGUAACCGGCAAACGGGUGCGGAACACGUACACAACCUUCCUUUAAGUGGGGGAUAGCCCAGAGAAAUUUGGAUUAAUACCCCGUAAUAUAGUUGAGUGGCAUCAUUUGAUUAUUAUAGCUACGGCGCUUAAUGAUGGGUGUGCGGCUGAUUAGAUAGUUGGCGGGGUAACGGCCCACCAAGUCUACGAUCAGUAGCUGAUGUGAGAGCAUGAUCAGCCACACGGGCACUGAGACACGGGCCCGACUCCUACGGGAGGCAGCAGUAAGGAAUAUUGGUCAAUGGACGCAAGUCUGAACCAGCCAUGCCGCGUGAAGGAUUAAGGUCCUCUGGAUUGUAAACUUCUUUUAUUUGGGACGAAAAAGGGCCUUUCUAGGUCAACUGACGGUACCAGAUGAAUAAGCACCGGCUAACUCCAUGCCAGCCGCCGCGGUAA